rnacentral:tRNA from 1 species
GGGUCUAUAGUAUAACGGCUAUUAUCGCCGGCUCUUAACCGGACGGAUGAAGGUUCAAAUCCUUCUAGACCCACCA